rnacentral:misc_RNA from 1 species
UGGUUCUGGCAUCGAUGAAGAACGCAGCGAAAUGCGAUAAGUAAUGUGAAUUGCAGAAUUCAGUGAAUCAUCGAAUCUUUGAACGCACAUUGCGCCCAUUAGUAUUCUAGUGGGCAUGCCUGUUCGAGCGUCAUUUCAACCCUUAAGCCUGGCUUAGUGUUGGGAAUCUACGUUUUGGGCGGUCCUACCCUGUAGCGGCCUACCCUGUAGUUCCUAAAAAUUAACGGCGGAACUGUGGUUUCCUCUGAGCGUAGUAAUUUUUAUCUCGCUUUUGUUAGGUACUGCUGCUCUUGCCGCUAAACCCCUAAUUUUCAAUGGUUGACCUCGGAUCAGGUAGGAAUACCCGCUGA